GGGGCCGAAGCUCAUUGGCAGAGCGCCGGAUUCCGCUUUCGGGUGUUUCAGCGGUUCCGGAGGUUGUAGGUUCGAUUCCUGCCGGCUCCA
rnacentral:tRNA from 1 species